GAUGAACGCUAGCGGCGGGCUUAAUACAUGCAAGUCAAGGGGUAGCAAUACACCGGCGUACGGGUGCGUAACGCGGAUUGAACCUGCCCUUAUCUGGGGGAUAACUCGGGGAAAGCCGAGCUAAGACUGCAUAGGAUAGUAGAAUGGCAUCAUUCAGCUCUUAAAGAUUUGUCGGAUAAGGAUGGCCAUGCGUAAGAUUAGAUAGUUGGUGGGGUAACGGCUCACCAAGUCUAAGAUCUUUAGGGGCUCUGAGAGGAGAAUCCCCCACACUGGCACUGAGAUACGGGCCAGACUCCUACGGGAGGCAGCAGUAGGGAAUAUUGGGCAAUGGGCGGAAGCAUGACCCAGCCACGCCGCGUGCAGGAAGAAGGCCCUCUGGGUUGUAAACUGCUUUUGAUUGGGAAGAAAGCAUCUCAUGCGUGGGAUUUUGACGGUACCAAUCGAAUAAGCCGCGGCUAACUACGUGCCAGCAGCCGCCGUAACAC
rnacentral:rRNA from 1 species